UAUUAUUUCUGCCCAGUGUAUAUAAUAUUAACGGCCGCAGUACUUUGACUGUGCUAAGGUAGCAUAAUCAAUUGGCUUUUAAUUUGAGUCUGGAAUGAAAGGAUUUAUGGGGAUUUACUGUUUCAAAUGUAUAAUAUUGAAUUUAUUAAAAAAGUGAAAAUACUUUUGUAUUAAAAAAAGACGAGAAGACCCUAAGAAUUUUUAGAAUGUAUUUAUACAAUUAUUUCUUUUUGUUGGGGCGACAAUUAAACAAUUAAACUUUAAUUAUUUUUUAAUCGGUUUUUUUCAGUAAAAAAUAAAUUACCUUAGGGAUAACAGCAUAAUUUAAGAAA
rnacentral:rRNA from 2 species